UACGUCCCCUAGUGCCUGCUUAUCAAUAACACGAAUUUAAAACAAAAUUACAAAGGAACAUAAAAAAGGCUUAUUGAUCCUAGAAGGCCAGCAGUAACUUUAAAUAGAAUAAAAAGAUAUUGCUUUGUAAAGCGUUAAAAGACCAAUUUGUAUAAAACAUAUUAAGAAUAUUCUAUAAUUUGGUAACAGGAAUUUGUAUUUUGUCUUUUUGUGUUGUAUUUAUUUAAUAAUGCAUCAGCAUUUGAACAUAUUUUAGCGGACGAGCAAAGGAAUAUACAAUAUGUCUCACGAAAGUGCAAACAUUGUGUCGUUCUACUAGUAUUGACGUUUCAUCAGUGCUACCAUAUUCUCAACUCAGUGGAAAUGAAAAAGAGAUCAUUUGCGCCGACAAAACCAGUUAUGAAGCUUUAGUGGAAUGUAUGACGAGUUACACCGUAUCAGACGAUUACCUAAAGUGUUCAUUGACAGUUAUGUCCAAUGACACUUGUAGGUAAGAAGUCUUUCAUCGAUGUUCUACAUAACAUAUAACAAAUAUAUAGUAGAAAAAUUACUUCAAAUAGACAUCUAAAAGUUCAUUUUAUUAUGUUACAUAUAUUACAAUGGAGAUGGGGUAAAAGUUGUGUUUGUUUUUAUUGGGUUUAACAUCACACCGACACACUUAUAGGUCAGAUGGCUACUCUCCAGCUUUGAUAAUGUAUGAAAACCCAAGGUGCACCUACAUACCUAUAUGUAUUGUUUCAAUCAUUAGGCGGACACCUUGUUAGAACGACCGACCUUCCGUAAGCCAACUUGGUGGCUUCCUCACAUAAAGAUUUCAGCGCACUGACUAAGGCUCUAGUCCGCAUCGGUAAAGGGCAAGUUAUUCGAAGUCGGCGGCCUUUAAAAGGAGAAGGAGUAAUGGUAAGAGAAAAUGGGAAUGUAUAAAAAGUGGGCAUGGAGUUUAAAGGAAGGCUUGUUAGAGAAAAUCACCUCCAUUCAUAACAGACGAUACACAUUACAUAUAAGUCAGUGUUAUUGCUCUUCUUGGUUUGUAAAAGAGAAGUGUCUUACUAGGUGUUGGUUUGGAUUAUAUUUCACAGUAAUCCACACAUGCGAUUCUCAAUGCCAUUCACAAGAUGUGCCCAUCCAGUGCAGAAUUCUACAAGUGCCUCUAUAACAAUGCAUUGCAAGCAUGCAAUGAUAAAGCUCUGACCACCACACCAGUUACAGUUGUUAUACCCAUACUUGCUUCAUCGAGCAGUAAUCUAGAAUUAUCGACGCUGGCACUUGUCGUUUUGGUCUGCAAUGCUCUUGUCCAAGUACUUUUCCAGGCUUUACAAGGAAAAAUAUCAGUCUAAUAAAUUGAAACUAUCUCAUCUGAAACAUGCAUAUUGUGAAAAAAAAAGACUUACAUUUCUGUUUAUCCAUUUAUACAAUGUAAUUAAAAAAAGCUGAAUUCGUACAACAGAUUGCGUUUAGGACGUAGCCACGAGUUUCAGAUAGAAUGUAUAAUCUCUAUCUUUGGUAAACAAACAUAAACAGAACAGAACAUAACAGAACAUAGUUUUAUUUCAGUAACUUAUACAUAUAAAGUAUCUCGUUACAUACAUACAAUUUAAAAUAUAAUAAUUUCUAGGUCACAUGAUAAACUUAUAAAUACAAGGAUAAAUAUCAAAUCUUAAGUUAGAGAAAAAAACAACAUUAUAGCAUAUUGAGGUCAUACUUGAUGUGUGGAGAAUAGACGAAAAUAUAUUUUGCUAUAUCAAUACAUUUUAAAUAUAAUAAUUACUAGGUCACAUUUCAAACUCAUAAAACAAGGAUAAAUAUCAAAUCUUAAGUAGAGAAAGAAAGAACAUGUUGCAUAUUGAGGUCAUUCUUUUAUGUGUGGAGAAUAGACGAAAAUACAUUUUGUUAUAUCAAUACAUACCUGGCAUACUAUCAUACGUUGUGCAUGUUAUACAGGUCAUACAGUACCAAAUAACCCCGAGAAACUUAUCACAAUUAAUUUAUACAUGCAUUAAGAACGCUGAUAAAGUCAAUUGCACUACGGAUGUCUAAAAUGUUACCGUAAUGUUUCUGUUUUAUAGUGAAUUGUGUAUAUGGUAACAGAAUAAAAGCUGUUAUUUUCAUACAAACUGGCACUCAGCCCGAUAAGACAAUUUUUUGUCAAUGCAUUUUAACUACAAUACAUAUUACCAUAUCGAUCAAAAUACAUGUCUAACAAUCGACCAAUAAACACAGUAAACGUAAAUAAACGGUACUUAAGGGGUUGCCAAUAGAAAUAUAUAUACGGUAUAUUUUCAUGGACAAUUAAUGCAUAUUACAUCGAUGACUACCAUUGGCAACGAAACCAUAAAAGUUAUGCACGACGAUUUUAAAAUAAUUAUAGCAUAAAAAACAUCUCUAUGUAAUACAAAUAGGCGAAAAUGUUCAUUUCAAGAGCAGUACAUGAGCCGCGCCAUGAGAAAACCAACAUAGUGGCUUUGCGACCAGCAUGGAUCCAGACCAGCCUGCGCAUCCGCGCAGUCUGGUCAAGAUCUA
rnacentral:lncRNA from 1 species